UCAUCACAAUGCUCCACGCAAUCCUCCUCCUAAUAACCAGAACAAUGGUGUUCAAUGUCAGAUUUGCAAAAGGAGGGGUCAUGAGGCUCACAAAUGUUGGCAUCGCUUUGAUAAUAGCUAUUAGGAUGAUCAGGUUCUUGAAGCCUUAGCUGCAAUUCAUCUUAAUCCACCUGAUGAAGGUGACUGGCAUCCCGAUUCCGCUGCUACAACGCACAUUACUAAUAAUCCAGGUAUACUCUCUAAUGUAAGGAAUUAUAAGGGAUUUGAUUCUGUUAUGGUUGGUAAUGGUUAAAAUUUGCCUAUCACACAUAUUGGUCAAGCACAUAUUUUUCCUAGGAACUCACAAUUAUCUCUACAUGAUGUGCUUGUCGUUUCUGAUAUAAAGAAAAACUUGAUCUCUAUUUUUCAACUUACAAAUGAUUAUCCUUGCUAUACUUUAUUUGAUGAUCAUGGUUUUCUUAUUAAGGACCGAAAGACGAAUCAGGUUUUGGCAUCGGGGAGUAAGAAAAAUGGAUUAUAUGUCAUAGACAAGGCUUCUGUCAAAGCUUUCUUCUCAAAUCGGUUUCAUGUAGUAGAUUCAGAUAUUUGGCAUGGACGGCCAUGACAUCCUCAACUUAGAGUUUUGAAUUAUUUGCAGCACAAUAAAUUUAUUUCAGUGAAUAAAAAGACUUCUAGUUUAAGUAAGAGUUGUGCUUUAAGCAAAAGCUCAAAGCUUCCUUUUUUUCCUUCAAGUAAUCGGGAAAACGCACUGUGUUAAGAUUUAUUGUGAUCUAUGGGGUCCUGUGUUUGUAUAGUUUUUGGAUACACUAAUCAAAAGAUAGAUUUGUAUUUGAAGUUCCUUCUUAUGCCUGUAUAAAUUGGUUAUCAAAGUAGACAAGUAACAAGCAAGGGUCGUACCCACCUCAGAGGGGGAGAUCUUAGCUCAAACACAAUAGCUAGAAAACAAUGGUUAAAGAACACCAAGGGAAUCAAUAAUAAGAUUAGAGAUUGAUUCUACUUCCUACAGGCAAUAAUAAAUAGUAAACCCUAACUUAAGAAUAUAGUAGAGAUGAAAAGAAGAUAUAUGAUGACAAAUGGGGAGAGUUGGUAUCCACUAACUAAAUCAUGCAAACAUAACAUGUUGUUCCUUCAUGUUCAAUCUAUAAUAAUUAAUUAGUUAUCUGUCGGUUAUUCCAACUAAUCAUUAAUAUCUAUAAUAAUCAAGUAGUCACCUCUCAACUAUUCCACUCAACUAAAACGGGAUUCUCUUAUGCAUGCUAUUGAAUAUAUCUUAAUAAUUAAACCGUCACCUCUCAGCUAUUGCAUCAUCUAGAGAGCUUCCACCAUCCCGCUAAGGAGAUUUAGCUACUCAUCCUUGAUAAUGAAACCAAAGAAUAAAUAAAUAAAACACAAUACAUCAUAAUGGAAAGAUUAAUAGAAUUGAUAUUGAAUAUUGAAUUUGAUACAAUGAAGAAGAAGAUGAACUUUUCUUCAAUGAAAGUUGAUCUCAAAGAAUAACUAAAAGAUAUCUAAACCCUAGCUACUACUUCUCUUAUAUAGAAAAUACAAAGUAGAAUACUUGCAUGCAAAGACUUCCAAACUAGGUCAAAUUCGUGGCUGCUGUUGUUGGUCUUCUAGAGGCAUUAGGUUUUUAGCAAAACCUAAUUCUCUUGGGCUUAAGUUGUAGUUGGGACCAAAGCCUCAAGUUUUAUUUUGCGAUAACAUAGACAACAGUUUAAGCACACUUUGGUUUUUUUUAUAGUAUGGGAGUGGUUCGGUCCUGGGAGGUCACGGGUUUGAUUCUUUGCAGCAACAUUUUAAAAUAAAUAUGUUGUUGAGGGGGAGUGUUGGUGGAUCCAUCCCCAUGUUUAGUUAGAACUGUGGGCCUAAUUGUUGCAAAAUCCACCUCCGUGUUUGGUUAGGUAUGUGACUACCAGUUUAUCCGGUAUUCCGGUUGAUAUACAUUGUGGUAAUCCCUCUAUAAGUUCGAGCUUUUAGAGAAACUGGCUUACAACAUGGUAUCAGAGGCAUCUAAACUCUAAAGAGUACGAUCCAUCAAUUCUCCAUUUUUUUUUCUUUCUUCAUACCAAAUGGCUGCACAACCUCUUCCUAAAUACCCAUACCCUGCAAAUCUUAAUGUUGCAAACUUUGUUUCUUUGAAACUCUCAUCUUCCAACUAUCUAUUGUGGGAAACACAAGUUCUAUCUUUGAUUGAAAGUCAAGAUUUACUUGGUUUCAUCACUGGAAACCACACCACAACCUGAACCUAUGGUUAAUGGUGAUGAAGGUGUAGUACCAAAUCCGGAUCUAGCGGCAUGGUCACGCAUUGACAGGUUGGUAAAAGCUUGGAUUACAGCUACCAUCUCAGAAGAAGCUCUUGGAAUUGUUGUCGGCUUUACCACUUCCUUCGAUGUUUGGAAGGCUUUGUCAAAUACUUAUUCACAAGAAUCUGAAGCUCGUGAGUUUGAGUUAUUUCUCAAACUUUAAAAAAGGAAAAAGGAGUCUGCUUCACUUGAUUACUACAUCUGGGAUUUCAAAUUAAUUUGUGAUCAACUCAAUGCCAUUGGCAAACCUGUACUUGAUCAGUCUCGGACCAUGGUAUGAAUCCUUUUCCACAGCCAUGCUUAAACCUCCUAUUCCAGCUUAUAACGAUUUAAUUACAUUAUUGCAUAGUCAUGAAUUAAUUCGAAAGUCUACUUUGUCUGAGCAUCCAAAUUUUGCACUUGCAUUUGUUGGAGAACGCUCUACUUCACGCAAUCAGUGUAAGCAUGGAUCUGGUUCUUCGUUUAAUUCACGAGGUCGAAGUUUCACUCCAGCAAGGUCAUAACCUCCUAAUACUCAUCGCAAUGCUCCACGCAAUCCUCCUCCUAAUAACCAGAACAAUGGUGUUCAAUGUCAGAUUUGCAAAAAGAGGGGUCAUGAGACUCACAAAUGUUGGCAUCGCUUUGAUAAUAGCUAUUAGGAUGAUCAGGUUCCUGAAGCCUUAGCUGCAAUUCAUCUUAAUCCACCUGAUGAAGGUGACUGGCAUCCUGAUUCCGCUGCUACAGCGCACAUUACUAAUAAUCCAGGUAUAUUCUCUAAUGUAAGGAAUUAUAAGGGAUUUGAUUCUGUUAUGGUUGGUAAUGGUGA
rnacentral:lncRNA from 1 species